UACGUAGGGCGCAAGCGUUGUCCGGAAUUAUUGGGCGUAAAGAGCUCGUAGGCGGUUUGUCGCGUCUGCUGUGAAAACCUAAGGCUCAACCUUGGGCUUGCAGUGGGUACGGGCAGACUAGAGUGUGGUAGGGGAGACUGGAAUUCCUGGUGUAGCGGUGGAAUGCGCAGAUAUCAGGAGGAACAUCCGUGGCGAAGGCGGCUCUCUGGUACGGUAAUUGACGCUGGAGACGGCGAAAGCGUGGGGAGCGAACAGG
rnacentral:rRNA from 1 species